rnacentral:lncRNA from 1 species
CUUCGGGGCAACAAUAGCAUUGCCACCAGUUGCACAACCCAAGAUGUUGCUGACAGACUGUCCUCUGUGGAAGAGGUUAUAAAAGCAUCUAUGAUUUCAGAAGGGGCAAUAACUCCAAUAACUAACACAGUCUCCAGGGGUGACUCUCAAGCCGUGAAAGUCAGGACAGCGGCAGGAAGCCCCACACCGCCAGCAGGGAUCCUUGGCUGCCAGUGGAAGCUGGGCUUGGCUUUGUGUGGGUUCUGCGCUCCUUCGCCCAGUUUCAAAACCUCCCGCACCUGUGUCUUUCUCCAUGCAAAUGAGCCCAACAGGAAAAACAGGCGCCUGUGGAGGUUUCACAACAACCUAGAAGCUGUCCCAUGCCAGAUCUCUGUCGGUGAGAAAAUGUGUGUGGAUGCUGACUUCUAGAAGACUCCAAAGCGCUUGUCUUCCCCACUCCCCAUUUCCAAAGGCUGAGACUCCUCUGCACUCCGAGUUUCCUCCCACGCUUCGUCUGAAGAGUGGGUUUUGGGGAGUGAAGGAUAGAAAAUAUCUGAAGACUCUUCCCUAUGACUUAAGACAUGAAUUUUCUUCUCAAGUCUUGAACUAAAGUCAGAAAGUGUUUGCAAGAAAUGUUCUUCUAGGUCCCACAUCCACGGGACCAGAUGAUGCCUGGCUCAAUGCAUUCCUAUCUGAAGUGGGGCAGAGAGGCUGGCAGCCUUCUUUACUAACCAGGCCUGGGAUGAGGUCAGGGGACACUGCUCCGUCACAAGAUCCCUCACAGGGUCCAAGUGCACCCCCUCUGGCUUUGCAGCUCCUCCCUCCCUCUGCUCUACAGACCAGCGACCCAUCCUGGUGAGGUCACCGAGUUGUCCUGUGUGGAGUCCGGCUCUUGUUUCCAAUGGGGAAAACAGCUUUCCUCAGAAAGUUCUACUCCCUCUGGGGAAAACGACUGAGAGGCUCUUGGCAGGGCUAUUCCCAGUUUCCUCACUAAUUACUCUGGGAUAUUCCCUCCUGAAUGAAGAAACUUCUAUAAUUUGGGUUAUAAAAGAUCUCUUUGAAUUUUCUCCAGAGUCUGCUGUGAUUAUAACAAUAAAAUAUACGACACACAUGAAGACUUUCAUCCCAGCAGCCCCAGGCUCACUGCAAACGAGUCAUAAUUAUGCAUCUCAACAGCACCCCCCAUUCUCUCCCAAUGUGGAAACUGAGGCAAAAGGAGGUCAAGGCUAUGGCUCCUCAGCCACCAAGAGACCCACAGAUCUGCUGUGACUUCCCUGUGCCCAGAAUUCCAGCCUUGCGGGGAAGCCGUGGGAAGUUCACUCAGGCCAUCUCAAAUCCCAAAUGUCCACCACCUUGAACACCCAUCUUUGGACAGUGGGAAAGCUGUGAUCCAGCUCCAUCUGGAUCCUUUAGUUACCCUAAACCUUGAGCGGCCAUGGAGUCCCGACUUCUGACCUAUGAGAUUACACAAAAACAAUACAAAACAGCAAAACACAUGAUAGAACAGUGAAACGCGAAUGCUGCGUUGCUUGGGUAACCCACGUGUCCGUCUCACCAGGUUGUGAGCUCUCCCAGGCAGGGACCACGUCGCCAUAUCAGGGUCAGUGCACGGGCACAGGAUGCCACCUGCCGUGAGCACCUGCUGUGUGUUUGAUACUAUUCCACACCAUAAGGAUCCAGAGAUUUCCACCGGGGACUUUGCCAAGCUGUUAUCUCCCCUCAUGACUGAGUGUAGAACAGAGUCCCAGGCUGGGCGCAGUGGCUCGCGCCUGUAAUCCCAGCACUUUGGGAGGCCAAGGUGUGAGGAGCACUUCAGCUGAGGAGUAAGAGAUCAGCCUGGGUAACAUAGUGGGGCUCCAUCUCUACAAAACACAAAAAGAUAUACUUUAGCCAGGCGUGUGGUGUAUGCCUGUAGUUCCAGCUACUUGGAAGGCUGAAGCGGGAGGAUCCCAGGAUCCCUUCAGCUCAGGAGUUGGAGGCUGCAGUGAGCUGUGAGGCCACUCCAGCCUGGGGGACAGAACAAGACCCUGUGUAAAGUGGCAGUCCUCUACCCAUGUGUGAGCGUGAUCACUUCCACAAAUGAACACUGAGGAGGUCUCUUCUGUGCCAGGUUCUGUGCUGGGCCUUGGGAUAUAAGCAGCAUGGCCCUCCCUUGUGGGGCGCGUGGGGAGAAGGAUGUUAAAUAAUCUAAAAAAGGGGCCUAAAACUCAAUCUUUGAAGGUGAGCUGCAGGGUGGUGUGGUCUCUUUGAUCUCUCAGGGGAGCCAGGGAGGGUGUCUGUCGAACGGUGACUGUGGAGGUCAGAUCAGAUGCAUCAGCAGGAGGUAGCAAGACAGAGGUGGGAGGGAGGGCUGAGUGGUUGAGGCAGUGCACACAGUUGUGCAAGGGCCCGGGGGCAGGAGGAAAUUUGGUGUGACAGAAGGACUGAAGGCAGUGUGGCUGGACAGUUGGGCUGUCCAGAGCAUUGGGACCAUGCUAAAGAUUUUAUUCUUGAUCCUAGGAGCAAUGGGAAUCUAUCAAAUCAUUUUAAGCAGGAGCCAGAUUUGACUCUAUGCACAUUUUUGUUUGUGUUUGUUUGUUUGUUUUGAGAUGGAGUCCGGCUCUGUCGCGCAGGCUGGAGUGCAGUGGCGCGAUCUCGGCUCACUGCAACCUCCAUCUCCUGGGUUCAAGCAAUUCUCCUGCCUCAGCCUCCCAAGUAGCUGGGAUUACAGGUGCAUGCCACCAUGCCCAGCUAAUUUUUCGUAUUUUUAGUAGAGAUGGGGUUUCACUGUGUGAGCCAGGAUGGUCUCCAUCUCCUGACCUCGUGAUCCGCCCACCUCGGCCUCCCAAAGUGCUGGAAUUACAGACGUGAGCCACCGUGCCCAGCCAUCUCUAUGCACAUUUUAAGACAUGUCUGCAAAUAUUUUCUGUAAAGGGCCAGAUAGUAAAUCUUUCAGGCUUGGGGGAGCAUAGGGUGGAAAUGGCUCAACUCUGCCCACAGAGUGCAGAAGCAACUGUAGACAAUAAGCAAAGAAUGAAGAAGUGCAGCUGCCUGUAGCAAGCAGGAGGCCCACAAAAGGGAUAUCGAUUAUUACUGAGGACAUGACUGCAAGUUAUGAUUCACUCACUCCUGCAUUCACCCAUUCAACAGAUACAUUAAGUACCUGCUACAGGUGAAGCAUUCUUAAUCUGAAAAUCUGAAAUGCUCCAAAGCUCAAAACUUUUUGAGUGUUGACACCAUGCUCAAAGGAAACACUCUUUGGAGCAUUUGGGAUUUCAGAGUUUGUGUGUGUGCGUGUGUGUGUGUGUGUGUUUAAUUUCAUUUUUUAAACUAGAGACAGGGUCCUACUGUAUUGCCCAGGCUGUCUCAAACUUCCGGCCUCGAGUGACUCUCCCACCUCAGCCUCUCAAAGCGCUGAGAUUACAGGCAUAAGCCACUGCACCUGGCCGGGAUCUCAGAUUUGGGGAUUACGCAUGCUCAACUG